UCAGGUGGUUAGAGCGCACCCCUGAUAAGGGUGAGGUCCCUGGUUCGAGUCCAGGAUGGCCCACCUUAGGGAAGGGGGUUUAGCUCAGUUGGU
rnacentral:tRNA from 1 species